AUUGAACGCUGGCGGCAUGCUUCACACAUGCAAGUCGAACGGCAGCACGGACUUCGGUCUGGUGGCGAGUGGCGAACGGGUGAGUAAUACAUCGGAACGUACCCAGUAAUGGGGGAUAACUAUCCGAAAGGAUAGCUAAUACCGCAUACGCCCUACGGGGGAAAGAGGGGGAUCGCAAGACCUUUUGUUAUUGGAGCGGCCGAUGGCUGGUUAGCUAGUUGGUAGGGUAAAGGCCUACCAAGGCAACGAUCAGUAGCGGGUCUUAGAGGACGAUCCGCCACACUGGAACUGAGACACGGUCCAGACUCCUACGGGAGGCAGCAGUGGGGAAUCUUGGACAAUGGGCGCAAGCCUGAUCCAGCAAUGCCGCGUGCGUGAAGAAGGCCUUCGGGUUGUAAAGCGCUUUUGUCAGGGAGCAAAUCCUUGUGGCUAAUACCCACCGGGGAUGAGAGUACCUGAAGAAUAAGGACCGGCUAACUACGUGCCAGCCGCCGCGGUAAUAC
rnacentral:rRNA from 1 species